rnacentral:tRNA from 1 species
GCGCCUCUAGCUCAGUUGGUAGAGCACCUGACUCUUAAUCAGGGUGUCCAGGGUUCGAACCCCUGGAGGCGCACGA